rnacentral:lncRNA from 10 species
GAGGGCGGGCGAGGGAGACGCAGACGCCGCCUGUGACAGUGGCAAUUCCCUGCGCCCCACAUCACAUUUGUCUGCCACAGCAGCAACAACAGAAAAGCGGAGGGAGGGAGGGAGGCGGGAGGAGGGGAGCAGAGCUCCGCAAGUCUUGGGCUCUGCGUGGAGGUUGCGUUUGGCUGGCGUCCCCGACCCCGGGCUUUUUGCACGGCAGCUCUCUCUGCGCAGCGCCGGGCGGCCGUAGUCGCUCCGCGGCGCGACUCCGCGGUCUCGUGGCGAGCGCGCGUGGGCGAGUGGCCGCGGACACUCUGGCCUCGCGAGGGAAGCCGCGCCGCGUCCUCGCCCCGUCGCCCCGCGGGCCGGCCGAGACGACGGGAAGUUUUAUUUGCAGCUCGGAGCCUGUGGCGGAUGGUGGGACUCUCCGGCCCUGUGCAGUAUCGUACUGAGAAGCACUCCACAAUGCCAGACUCACCUGUGGAUGUGAAGACGCAAUCUAGGCUGACUCCUCCAACAAUGCCACCUCCCCCAACUACUCAAGGAGCUCCAAGAACCAGUUCAUUUACACCGACAACGUUAACUAAUGGCACGAGCCAUUCU